GGAGCGACUCUGAGGGGCCCACGUUGCUUCAAAGCAGGAGCCGGACACUAGAAGGUUGGCUGGACAAUCGGUAGCUGUCGGGUUCCCGUAGCUUUGCGCAACUCUGACAUGGGAGAAGAAAACCUGGAGCAAAUUGUUUUCUGUAGACGAAGAACUCGGGGUCGAGCUCUGCUGCUCCCUAGUGUGGAUGCACACAGGAUUUAAGAGACGACAAGUCUGUUUCCACCCUGGAGGAAGAAUCACCUCUCCAAUGACUGACUAGUCAUUAUCAGUGACUUCUUGAUCUUUUUCAAGCAGCAUGGAAACAUUAAGUUGGGGGAUGAUGCCUUACGCUAGGUGCUAUCAUUUUGGGAGUUGAAGAUAAGGAAGGAGUUAGAGACCAGGCUCCAGCUUCUGAAAAGCCAUUCAACAAAGACAGAUUCUUAUUUCUGCAAAUUAAUCAUGUUUCUCCAAUUGGGAGCCAGGGCUGUUGGGAAUAAAGUUCCCACUAUGGAGGGUUGUCUUCUGUGCCUACCACAGGUCCUGGCAUUCAGCAGGCCCUCAG
ensembl:lncRNA